UUUGUUUUCUGAAGUGCAACUAGCCAUCCUACUCUUCUAAGCAGUCAAGGAAUAAAUUCAUCUUUGCAGAUAUUUGCAAGUUCUACCGCAGUUUUCAAGUCUGGUCAGGUUUUAGCUUGCCAUAUUUUCGUCUUUGGUACUUUAUGAGUUUGAUAGCUUUCAAGUAAAUGCUCCAAUGAUUUCAAGAACUCGAUGCUUGCAUUACUUUCAAAGGCUCAAAAUUAGGAUUGUUUUCUUCAGUCUUGUGUUUACUCUGGCCCUUUAGAGCUCCAUCGGGUGAUUGUUUGAGCACACAAAAGAAUUCUACACCUUGUUCAUGGAAUUUUAACUAAAUCUCAGUUAAUCUGUGAGAGUUUUUGUCCAUGCCUAUUUCUUUAGUAGUUGUGUUUAUUGCUUGGAAAAACUGAACAGUUCAAUUACUCAUAGUUUGUUUCCCCUGUUUUCUCUGUUUUUUCCAUGUCUUUUUCGCCACUUUCUAAACCACUGUUAUUAAACCUGGCAUUGUUCAUGGGUUGAUCGGGGACCUAGCUGACGCGGGUUGGUUUUCAAAAAACUUUUUUGGGAGUUGAUUUGGUGUAGCUUGGUCAAAGACCCUAGUUGACUUGUGUUUAUUGUUGUAUUCGACAAAUAAAAACUCAGAUAGCCAAUAUCAUAUUUUAGAAGUUAGUCAAUUUAUCGUGCCUACUGCCUACUGAAAAUUUGUUUCAAUGUGAUCAUUAAUGUUUCAACUGACGUUUCUCGCUUUCAUUUUUUUCGCAGAGGAGACCUCUAACCCAGAUUCACUUAAAAUAGGUAUGGUUCUGCUACACGCACAUUAAAAAAAGAAAAACAAAAAGCUGAGCAGUUUUUUUUCCUACUUCCAGGACUUAGCAUAGCAGGUACUGUUGUUGGUGUCUUUUUGGGAUGCUGGAUCAUGACCAUUAUACAACUGAAGAGAAGAAAAGCUGCCCUACUGAAAAGCAAAGACCUUCCUAUAGCAGCUACUCCUUCAAGCAAAGGCCUUGCUACUUCAACUAACCUCUCUCAAACCACCCCUUCUCUUACCCCCUCAAAGUCUGACAUUGAUAAGGGCAGUACCUACUUUGGAGUGCGGGUGUUCAGCUACAAUGAACUUGAGGAAGCCACUAAUUGUUUUGAUUCUUCAAAAGAACUUGGAGAUGGAGGGUUUGGCACUGUUUACUAUGGUUAGAAGAUGAAAUUAUUUUAUUUUGCAGUAUAGUAACAUUGCAUAUGCUAACUUCUUUGUUGACUCCUUUCUAAAGUUUUAACGUAAUUGCUUGAAUUAUCAGGAGUACUCAGGGAUGGGCGUGUGGUUGCUGUCAAGCGCCUAUAUGAGAGCAACAUGAGACGUGCUGAGCAGUUUAUGAAUGAAAUUGAGAUCCUAGCUCAUUUGCGGCACAAGAACCUGGUGGAACUCUAUGGAUGCACCUCAAGGCAUAGCCGAGAGCUUCUACUUGUUUAUGAAUACAUGCCUAAUGGAACUGUCGCUGAUCAUCUUCAUGGAAGACAGUCGAACUCUGGUUUGCUCACUUGGCCUGUUCGGUUGAGCAUUGCUAUAGAGACAGCCAGUGCACUUGCAUACCUCCACGCUUCAGAUGUCAUACAUCGUGAUGUCAAAACCAAUAACAUUCUCCUAGACAACGACUUCCAUGUGAAAGUGGCUGAUUUUGGUUUGUCGAGAUUGUUCCCAACUGAUGUUACUCAUGUAUCGACUGCUCCACAAGGAACGCCUGGAUAUGUUGAUCCGGAGUAUUAUCAAUGCUACCAACUGACGGACAAGAGCGACGUUUACAGCUUUGGUGUGGUCUUGAUUGAGCUGAUAUCAGCUUUAGAAGCAGUGGACACCAAUAGGCAUCGGCAUGAUAUUAAUUUGUCCAUCAUGGCAGUGAAAAAAAUCCAAAACCAGGCUUUAAAUGAGUUGGUUGAUCCAUUUCUUGGAUUUGACAAGGAUUUCGUGGUGAGGAAGAUGGUAACAUCAGUUGCAGAAUUAGCUUUCCGGUGUUUGCAACAACAGAGGGAAAUGAGGCCUACUAUGGAGGAAGUGUUGGAGAUCCUGAGGAGAAUUGAGAAAGAAAAUUACGGAGCAGAAAAGGCAGAUGUAUUGGAUAUUCGUGAGGAUGAUGUUGGUCUAUUGAAGCAUCCUCCUCCUCCACUUCAACUAUCACCAGAUUCUAUGAGUGAUCAAUUUUGAGCAAGCAGUUCUUCAACUACAACACCGCAUUCCUACUAGUUGUAGAGAUAUCCUUAUCCUCUGUGCUUAAAAUAUGUGAGUAGAAAUUUCAAGUGUUGUACAAUCAAUGAGAUUGAGUUUUACUUUCUUCUCUUGGUUGGUAUUGUUAUGAUGAAAUAAUCGCAUGAUUGAUAUGCUUGUGGACUGACAUAGAACUUAUAUAUUAUGCGGGAAUUCGUGAUUUUCUAUCAGAAGGUUAACCGAACUACAUUUGUGCAAAUCCUCUAAAGCUAAAUAAAGCAAUGUUGAAGAAGGAAAGGAAUAAAUCCAUCAAGAGAAUCAGAACAACAUGCUGGAGCAAAAUUUCAUCAGGUUGAUUACAAGAUAUGUGAUGGGAAAAAGGUGGUAGAGCAGUUGUCCGAUUCACCGUGAUGGACCAGAAUUGCUUAGAAGUUUUAGAUAGAAAACUGAAUGGCGUUGUCCAUGACAUUUGUUAUUGAUUGAUAGUUUUCCUUCUUUAAUUUCUUGUUGAUAUAUCACUUUCCUGUUCAUAAAACGAUUUGCAUUGACAGGAAACUUAAUUGGGUAAUCAGUUACUGUCUUUCCUUACUGUGUAUUGAAUGCCUUCUUCUGUUUCUUUCAUAUGAUAUGCCUAGAAAGUGUCGUAUUUAUAUUUAUUAUUGUUUGUUUCAAGCCACUGUCAUUGAUUUCCUAUUUGUAUUUAUUAUUGUUUGAUUUAAGCCAUUUUCAUUAAUUAAUUUCAAUUUCCUUGAAAUUAAUAAAAUAUAAAUAUAUAUUUUAAUCUCUUUGAAUAUUUAUAUGCAAUGUUUUUGAACAAUUAUGUAUAUUGGUUUCAUAUAUAAUUAUUAAGAAUUUAAAAAUAAUAUCAUAAAAAGCUCUAAUUUUAUUUAAAAAAACACAAUAUAAUCAGAUGAUUUUUUUAAUAUUAUUGUAAUUAUUCAUUUAAAUAGGAUUUCACUAGUAUUUGGAACUUGGAAUCAGAAACGACCUUUUGAAUUGUUUUUGAAGAAUUAAAGUUCUAUAUUCUCCUAUACUACAUGGCAUAUAAUUCAAAAAUCUUAAAAUUAAAUACGUCAAAAUCAUUCAAUCUUUGUUAAAAAUCUUGUCUCAUAGACACAUUAAGUUAAUUGUUUUUUUCUUUUUUCCAAUUGACGUUAAUUUUAUUAAUUUUAUUUUUUUUAUAAUGUAAGUAAUAUGAGUUUUAAAUUUGUAAGAUAAUUAAGUUCUUUUCAUUUAAAAUUUAACAAUUAUGGACCAAAGUGUAAAAUAAAGAGAAAUCUCAUGGCCAAUCUUAAAUUUUCUAGAAAAACUUAUACUUAGUCCCCCACUUUCUUUUUCUUACUCUAUAGUCCCUUUAAUUUUUGCAAUUUUAAUUUUGAUUCAAUAUAUACAACAUCCUGCUAUCCCAAAAUUUUCUCGGCAUACUUUUCCUAUUACUUUCUCGGCAUACUUUUCCUGCUAUCCCAAAAUUAUCAAAUACCUGUCUGUAGGAAAUUUCUGCUUCAAUUUCCACUUGACUGACUUAAACAACUUUUCAGUCAACGUACCAGAGCCAACCCAUUGCCAUAACCCAGUCAAGAGUCAUGUACUAUCUAACCCCUCUUCCAUGAGGCCAUUACCACACUACCCUGUUUCCUUUCAGCAUUCCACACCCAGAACAACCACCACCAUCACCCCCUUCUAAUUCCUCCACCAAUGCACCCCCUCAGCACCGCUUCUGCCACCUCCUUCCUUUCCACCCUCUUAUUGUUCCUCCACUUAACGGCAUCAUUUCCUUCGAAUGACAUGAGUAAUCUUUCAAACUGCAACCGUCCAUGCCCCGUCCUAUCCAAUAGCACCACUUUUGAUAACGUUAUCUUCAGCCUUGCCUCCAACCAUGAAACCCUUACUUUCUUUUAUGGGUGCAAGAAGUUAAGUGACUCUGUCGAGGAAAACUCUAAGUUCUCAUGUCCCAUGCCAGGAGAUUCAGAAGAAGGGUUUUUCAAGUUUGGUGAUCAUCCUUCUGGGGACCGGUGUCGGACUAGUUUUCAAGUGCCGUUUCUCUGGAGUUGGAAACAACAACUUCAGGCUGAAGGGUCAUCAUUACUUGGUAAGGUUUCGAAAGAUGGGUUUGAUGUCAGUUAUAGGAAUCCUUACGGUGCUAAUUGUCAGAAAUGUUACAAGCAUUCUGGUAGGCAAUGUGGGUUUGAUGGUAAAGUACCUAUUUGCAUCUGUAAUGAUCAGCUCUGUACUGGUAAGUUAAAGGCCAUGUUUGUUUUCCGGAAUCCACUUUCUGGGAAAUCACUUUCCAAACUUUUCUGUGUUUGUUUGCCAUUAGAAAAGUUGGUCAACGAAAAACACUUUCCGGUCAACGGAAAACACUUUCCAGUCAAAGAAAAAUUUGGUUUAGUUUCCAAGAAAGUGUUUUCCCUUUUGGCUGUGUUUGUUUUCCGGAAAGUGGUUUCCGAGAAACCACUUUCCAAACUUUCCUGUGUUUGUUUGUCAUUAGAAAAGUUGGUCAACAGAAAACACUUUCCAGUCAAAGGAAAAUUUGGCUUGGUUUUCAGGAAAGUGUUUUCCUGGAAAAUUUGGGCGGAAAACACUUUCCGGAAGUUGUGAAAAAUUUAGAAAUGUCAUUAUUUGCUGAUUAUUUCAAAUUUCAUCCUCAAACUUUUGAUUGCUAUAUAUAAUUUUUUUUGUAUAUUUAUUUUUCAAUUUCAUCUCUUAAAAUUUAAUUUUUAUAUUAAUUUUGGUCCUUAUUUUUAUAAUUGCUAUUUGCUUUUUCCUUAUCAUUUUUUUAUUGAAAUUUUUUAUCUAUUAAAUUUGGUCCUUAUUCUUUUGAUUGUUACUUAUUUUAUUUGAAAUAAUUUAUGAAAUGUUAAUUAUUAUUAUUUUAAUUUAUUCACCUUUCAUUUUUUUUUUAAUUUUUUAGAUUUGAUCUCUAUUAUUUUGAUUAUUAUUUAUUUUAUUUGAGAUAAUUUAUGAAAUUAUAUUUUUUUUCAAUUUCAUUCUCAUUCAACUUUUUAAUUUGUAAGAUUUGUUCCUCAUUAUUUUAAUAAACUUGAGAAAAAUAAAACAUUAAUAAGUUAUUUUCCAGCUCAUUUUCCAUGACAUAACCAAACACUGGAAAGUGUUUUCCAACUUAUUUUCCAUUACACUACCAAACAUCGGAAAAUACUUUCCCGGAAUUCACUUUCCCCGGAAUUCACUUUCCAAAAGAAAACUACUUUCCAGCAAACAAACGGGGCCAAAAUCUAUAUUAAUUUUGACUAGCCAAAAUCUUCUAGUUUCCGUACGAGUUUGGUAGCUUUCAAGAAAUGCUAGGCCUUCUUGUGGUAAUUGAUAUGGAGGGUUUUUUUUUAUCAAAUUAUGCAAAGCUUCAAUGAUUUCAAGAAUUAAUGCUUGAAUUGCUUGAAACAGGGAAGUUGUUUUUAAAAAUAAUUUUUACUAGAAAAUAUAUUAAAAUAAUUUUAUUUUUAAAUCAACAUAUAAAAACAUUAAAAAUAUUAAUUUAAAAUAAAAAAAUAAUUUAAAUUUAAAAAGAAAAAUAUUUUUACAAUGCAAAAAUAAAUUCACUCACUGACUUAAACAACUUAUUAGUUACUUAUCGUGACAUAUAGUCAACCCACCUUAAUAUUUUAAAAGACAUAAAAGCCCCAUUCAUGCCAAUCAAACAAAAUAUCAGAAACAACUAACAUAUUUUCUCACGACUUUGGUCUAAUGAAAGAUCAAACUCAUGAUAUAUGUGGAGAAACAAAUAGCAUGUUCGAAUAUAUUAGAUAAUUUUGAUUGGACAAAAGAUGCACGAAACCAUUAAAACACCCAUGAACUAACAAAUAAUCCUCUUUUCACAGCAGAAUUCACACCUCAACUACUUUGUGAGAAAUAAAACAUUUAUCAUGAACUUGGUAUUGGCCUCGAUAUUGCGAAAUUACAGUAUUAGCUUUUUUACUGUGUGAAUUCACAGUAAAAAGCUGAUUUUAUCUUUUUUUAUGAGCAAAGUAGCAGUCUUGGUUCUAAUGAUAUGAAGGUAUUUUCCAAACGGCUCCUAAAAGGAGGAGCUUUUCUUCCAUGUUGGAGAAGGUUUAGAAUGAUAUUAUCACAUAAGAGGUGAGUCACUGUUUCAUAUUGGUUUCAAAUGAAAUUAUUAUUAAGGAAAAGAUUUAUUUCGUUAGAUUACAAGUGGAAAUCAAAUAUAUAUUAUCAUUACCGUUGAUUUACAAAUUAAUCAAUUUGAGAGAAUACUAAGAAAAAAAUUAGAUAUGAAAAUAUAUAGUUUUGAAAUUUCAAAGUUGGUUUAUUAUGCUAAAGAUAAGGAGAUCUAGGAGGUGGUAUUUUCUAAAUUAUAUUAUGGAGAUAUUGUAAAAAAUUACGAUGCUCCUGCUACUAACACUCCAGGACCAUAGAAGAUUGCAAGUGUCGUCGAACAUCUUUAUUAGAAGAAGAUGAUUCGAGUGUUGUUUUCAGUGUCUCUGCUACCACAUCAGAACUUCUUUCUGCAAAAGACACCAAAGAUUCAGUAGUGUAAAAAGAAGUCAGACAAACCGGAAUCAACAAUUCCUAAAGUUAAGAUUAAACCAAUUGAUAAAAAGCCAUAGCAAGCAAGCUGAUAUCAAAUUAAGAGAAAUUAAGUGUUGAAUCAAUCUUGUAAAAUUAUCAGUGUAGGACAUGUCAAUUGAAGUUGCCAUCUUUUAAAAGAUAGUUUUAUAUUUUUAUGGUUCUAGUGAAUUUUUGUCUAGAUUCAGAGUUUUUUUCUUGGAAAUAUCUUCUCUCUAAAAUAAGAUUUAAGAUAUUUAAAGUAGUGGUGACAAUGUUAUAUUUAAAAUAUUUAUUUUCUUAAAAUAGAUUUUCUUAUAAUUUUCUAUUGUAAUUUAAUUUUAAGGCUUGAAAACUCUAAUUUAUUUCUUUAUAAUUUAGAAAUGUAUUUUUUUAAUGAUUGUCAAACUCCAACGCUAUACACUGUGUGUCAGGUAGAAAUGUAAAAAGUUAACAAGAACAGGACAAACAGUAUUCAAGAAAGAAUUGUAAAGCUGCCAUGGAAUGGUUAGCUUAAGUUUACAACAAUAUAGAUUAAGACAUUAAGGAGUUCAGAAAACAAAAACAUUACCUAAUACAUCACACUUAAUCUCAGAAUUAAUUCCUUAACUGUAUUAAAUUUUAUGUCUGCUGAGACUGAUUCUAUAAUUUGUUUAUUACUAAUUAACUACGACAUCUUCCAUUGGUUGUCGUCAUCACCAUCAUCAUGAGUCAGCACAUUCCACUUCUGUCUUUAGGGUAAUUUCAUUUUUUUAUAAUUGUUGCUGAUCACCAAUGAAAGUUGUAAAAUUUUCUUAUAUCAGAAACUUACUUGAUGUUCAUGUUACAGGAACAUGAUCUUAAAGGUUUGGUAAGGGUCUUAAGAUUGCUAUAGGUGAAUAUAAUAAUAAGAAUCCAAUAUUUUCAUUUGAUGACGAUGAGGUCGAUGAUAAUGAUGAUGAUCAUUUUCUUUUACAGUCAUAUCAGCAGCUAUGGCAGCGAUAAUUGCUUUUUCUAUAAUUGCAAUUUGUUUCAGUGGAAGAGAAGGCUCAUUUAGUGGCAUUAUAGCAAUGACCUUCAAGCUGAAGAAUUCACAGAAUGUUGACAGGUUUGAACAUUUAUGAUGGACUAUCAUUGUCUCACCCCAAGGCGUUAUUCAUAUUUAGACAUUAAGAAAAUCACCAACUCAUUCACCAAUAAACUAGGUGAGGGGGGAUUUGGUAAUGUAUAGAAAGGAAAGUUAACGGACGGUCGACUUGUGGCCGUAAAAGUCCUGAAAGAAUCCAAAGGUGAUGGAGAAGAGUUCAUGAAUGAAGUUGCGAGCAUUAGCAGAACUUCCCACAUGAAUAUAGUUACACUUUUGGGUUUCUGCUAUGAGAAGACUAAAAGAGCUUUGAUCUACGAAUUCAUGACCAAGGGAUCUUUAGACAAGUUCAUAUCUUAUGAAGGAACCCCAGAUACAAAUUUUGGUUUACAAUGGGAAAGGUUUUAUGAAAUUGCAGUUGGUAUUGCUAGAGGUCUCGAGUACUUCCAUAGAGGUUGUAACACUCGAAUUGUGCAUUUUGACAUAAAGCCUCACAACAUUCUUCUCGAUGAAGAUUUUUGUCCAAAGAUCUCUGAUUUUGGUCUGGCAAAGCUAUGCAAGAGUAAAGUGAGUAAGGUUUCAAUGAUAGGUGCAAGAGGGACUGUCGAUUACAUAGCACCUGAAGUGUUCUGCAGAACUUUUGGAGGAGUAUCUUACAAGUCUGAUGUGUAUAGCUAUGGAAUGAUGGUUCUAGAAAUGGUUGGAGAAAGAAAAAAAAUUAUACUGGAUCUUCGGAAACUAGUGAAAUGUAUUUCCCUGAUUGGUUCUAUAAGUAUCUUGAACCGGGAGAGAUUACAUUACUUUAUGGGGGUUUAUCAGAAGAGAAAGAAGAGAUUAUAAAAAAGAUGAUUGUUGGAGGUUUGUGGUGCAUCCAAACCAUUCCAUCAGAUAGAUCAUCAAUGACAAAGGUGGUAGAGAUGUUUGAAGGUAGUCUUCACUCUUUGCAAAUUCCACCAAAAGCUUUACUUUCUAAAAGGUCUGUCAAGAUUACUCUUCCACUAUAUCAUCAUUGCCAAGUGUGUCGUCACAGGGGGGUGGAGUGAACAAAUUGUCCGUUGAUGAAAGUGACUUGCAACUAGAGACUUCAAUACUUUGUGUAGCCUGAUGAAUAUAUAAAAAACCUUAUUUCAUGUCCUUCAUCUAAGAGCUGCUUCUAGGCUAAAUGGUUCUUUGAUAUAGCUCACCGGAGGAUACUCGCACAGGAUUGGUAAUAGACAUUGUCGUCUCUCUCCAUCUCUUUUUUUCACCACUGAUGCAUACCAAUUAUAGUAUGUACUUCAUGUUCAAUCUGCUGAAAGUGUAGAACGUUCUGUUCCUACUUGCCUCUUAUUGUUUAUGGUUUCAAGAUCUAGACAAUAAGUGAGGUUCAACUGUAUCAUGUCUAUGGUUAAUGUCAUCCAUCCUGCAUUGCAACUUUCUUAGUGGACUUUCAUAUUUUUCUCACUCUGUUUAUUUGAGAAAUAUAUUUCCCGGAUUGGUUUUAUAAGCAUCUUGAACCAAGAGUGAUAUCAAGACCUCAAGAGAGUAUGACAGAAGAUGAAGAAGAGAUUUUAAGGAAGUCCACUAUGGGAUGCGGAAAAGAUGAGAAGAUGAUCUUAGUGGGUUUGUAACAAAUCCUUCAGAUAAAGCAUCAACGACAGGAUAAGUGGAUAUUGUAUGUUAAUUGCAAGCACGCAGCACUGAUAGGAGACACUAUCCUCUCUGCCUCUGCCUCUGGUUUUUGUCAAUGGUAAUGUGUGUUAAUUAUGUUUUUGAUAUGAUGCUCAGAACUGUAAAAUUAAUCUGCCAUCCGUCACUAUUAAACAAGUUUAAAAUUUAGAGAAAUAACUUGGAGGUUAAGCUAUAUCAUCACUUGUGGUUAACUGAUAUCUUAGGGAGAUGAUGAUUCCUUGUACCAAUUUCAGACGCAUCUCUGCUACCUAUCUACUCUGCAUUUUGCUGGGGUAAAGGUCUUAUUGGAUCACUACUGAGCUCCCAUACUCUCUUUCAUGUCCUGUAAAGCUCUUCCUACUGUUUUGGUAAGGUCCAGGAAUGCUUCUUUCUUUCAUGCUGAAGGCAUUUUGACCUUUUUAAAUGUGGCAGAAUAUGAAAUUGUUUGCUCAGCAGAGCUUGACUAUGAGUUUAUUUGAAAUGCUUUCAACAUUCCCUAUCACCAAUCAAUAGAACUCAUGUUCAUAUGUAGGAAUCUUAAGAGCACCCUCUUCUUAAGGAUCAUAUAAGUUUCUCAACUUUCUAUGAUCCCCCAAGUUCUGAAAAUCCACUCCAUCAGAUUUCUGCUAACUGAACUGAAAUAAUCCUAACUAUUAAAAAUUAAGGACCAAAUUGAAAUUUUAUAGGCUAAUUAUAGGCUAACAACUAGAAUUCCAAAAGUUCUGUGUAGCUAUGGAAAAAAAUAGCAAGGAAUGAUGGAAAACCAAUGCGUGGUGUUGGGGGUCAAGGAAGUCACUACCUAGUUAUUUGGUUUAAGAUAGCUAGGAAACUCAGUUAUACUGGUUUUAUCAUAGAUUCAAGGGUAAGUGACUAGUUGUAGCUACAUAAAGUAUUAGCACCCCUAACAUACCUUAUCUAAGAUAAGUUGUUUUGUGUGGUUUUGAUGGGUUUCUUAAAGGUUUUCACGGGUUUAUAACCGACAGUCAAUCUAUGGCUCAGGAUGACGGCAAAUGAGUUUCCUACAACUCGUACCUCAUAAUGAAAAAUACUUCCAAUUAAAAUAAGUGAAAAUUCAGAAUAAUUUUGAGAAUUUUCUGGUCAAUUUUUAAUAUUUAAAUACCAACCUAGUUGGAGGUCCAACAUUUAUACUAGAAUAUUUACAAUUAAUUCUCAUGAAUUAAAAUUUUAUCGGUUAUAGAAAUAGUGACCAAAUUCUCAUGAAUUCAAUAAAUUGAUUUAUUAAAUUCAAAAUGCAUGUAAAUAUAUAUAUUUUUUUGUAUGGAAAUACUAAAACACCAAGUAUUUUAUUUUUGUAAGCAAGAUAUGAUUUUUGUAUUUUUGAGAGACUUGGUUGUAUGCAAAUUAAAUAAAGAUUGUAUUUUUCAAAGGGAGAUUUUUUGUUGUUGUUUUUGUGGAAAGAAAAUGAUCCAUUUAAUACCAAAAAAGAACCUCGUGUGUAGGUCACAAUUCCAAAUAUUAAAUAUGUGAGGAUAAAAAAACUAGGAAAAUCAAAAUUGAUUGAAAAAUUAUCUUUUGGGUAUUAAGAAAAUAUUACCAACUAAUGAAGGAUCUAUUUGAUAAGACGCAAAUAAAAAUAUUUUUUAUAAGGACUAUUUAGACCGCGAUAUCCAUUCAAAACUAAUUAUUGUUUACCGACUCAAAACUAAACAACACCAAACAUCCACACAAUUUUAUUAAUGUCAAAAACUUAUAUUCAAAUUUCAUGCUAAUUCAAAUAAAUCAACAUCAAUCCAAGCAUAAAUCAUGCAUCAAUAUUUAACGUCCUCUAACACAAAUCCAAAAAAAUAAACUUAUAAUUCAACGCAAAUAAUCAAGUUAUAUUGAGAUCCAAACACGAAUCAAACCAAAUUAACAAUCUAAAUAUCAUACAAAAUAAUAAGCUUUUUGCUCCAAAAUUUCACAAUUUAUCACAAUUUUGUCAAAAAAUGGUUUGACUUCAUAAAUCAACCUUUUGAGAUGAUUGGAAUGUCCGGGGUAUAAUGCAAUGGACACUAGAAGACCGCUGAGACAAUGACAGUGCAUGGAUUAAUGCGCUGCCACUAGAGGAGCGUGGAGUCACUCUCUGGUGACCCGAACAGAUAGAGAUCCAUUAGAUCAAGUAGAUCAUCAACCCCUGUUGUUUUUUUGCCAACAGUGAGGCAAACAAAGAUCUAAGAAAGGAGAUUCGACCACAUUAAGCUUUGACUACCUUCUCCUCUCUCUCCUCUUCACGCGACUGCUUUCCUCUCUUGGUCGUGAGAGAGGAUGUCUUCACUAGCAUUAAUGAAGGUCAUAGGCGAGGGGAUUGAUGAUGCUGAACAGGGACUUGGUCCUGUCAUAGGUGCGAUCGAUGGCAUGUGGAGGGGGGAUAUAUAGGAGGAGAGAGAGAGAUAUCUUAAACAACUCAAGAGAAGGAAGCAUCUAUGAAAGAGGAAGCUUGAAGAAAUUCUGCUCACUUCAUAAGAGUUCUUCUUUCUAUUCUUUUUCUCUUCAUUACAUUUAAAUUUAAUAAGUGUUUUUGUUUGUUUGGAUUAAGAAUGAACUAAUUUUCUUAUUCUAGGGCUAGGAUGUAAUCUUUGAAUUCAUGACAUGAGUUGAAUGUAAUUGAAUUUUGUAUAUUUUGCUGAUUUUAAUUUAAUGAUUUUGGUUUUCAUCCUUGUAAUUUAUUGGUCAUGAAUUGCAUAGUUAAGGUGUUUAAUGAAUUAACGAAAGUUGAAGUUCAAUAUUAGUUCCUGAAUUCAUCAAAUCUUGGUAGUGUAGCUUAGAAAUAAAUAUAAAUUAUUGUGACAUAUAUUCAAGAGUUCCACAAAACUUAAUGAAUUUAUAUAUAUUAAUUUCUAUGAUCACGAAAGUACACAUAAUAUUAAUAUAGAUAUAGUUGUUAUACCUUGAAAAAGGACAUCAUAUACAAAAGGGAAUUCAGUCAUUGCAAUUAGCAAAAGAUUAGUCCAAGAAACUAUAUUUAAAUUUAUGGAAGGAAUUCAUUUGAUGAAAUCUUACACCUUAGAAAUCUUCAUUUUUUAUUUUAAAUUAAACAAAAAGAAAUUUGCAUUCCAUUAUACAAAUUUGAAAUCUUAUACAGAAUAUAGGAAAUUGAUGAAUUAGUACUUAAACCACAUCCUUGUGGAUACAAUACUUGAAUUACCCUAUUCUAUAUGCCAAAAUCCAUAUGUUUAUGGUAAAAAUCAGGGACGCAUCAAAGUGUAAUAAAAAAGAUAUUGAAUAUUCUUGUACUAGAUUAUAAAGGUUUAUUAAGCACAAAUUAGAGUAUAACCAAUGAUUGAUGAUUUUAAAGUUGUUUUGCUUUUAAAAUAGCUUGUAUAUAACAUAUGUUUGGAUUCUCUUGUUAAUUUUGCAAUUAGACAAGCUAUAUAUAUGUUUUUAAGAAAAACUUGUCGUUAUAAUCGUUACAGUCUCACUAACGACUAAAAUGGUUGAUCAGUUCAGAUUGGUUAAGUCAAUAUGUUGACUAAUUCUUGCAGAAUUCUCAUGUAUCCAUCACUAAUAAAUAUAGAUCAACCGAUUCAUUUGGUCAUACCAAACGGUCAACUAGUUCAUAUAGAAUUUCAAUUAUGAUAGAUUAAUCUAGGUGAAUUCUUAGAAUCGUCUAUCUUAGAUUUUAUCAUGUGAUUUAUUAAUACUUUAAAGUAUGCAUGGUUAAGUGUGUGAGUUCAUUUUAAUUGUGCUAUCAAGUAGGAUAUAAAGAUUUACAUUAAGCACUUAAAAUGAAUACUAAUGUAAGUCUUCAUUUGCUUUCUUCUUUGAAUGCUCGAUUGAUUUCUUCACGAAAUCCAUCAUGCUUGUUUUUAUAUUCUCACCAAGGCAUAUUAUUAAUCUAUUUUUAUUUUAUUGUUAUAAUUAAAAUAUUUAAAAUAUGAAUAUUUGAUUUAAGGGUCAACAAUUAGCUGACGACAUUCUUUCAAAUUUAUGUAACUAAUGCUAUUUAAUUUUAUUUUUUUGUUGGGUUGAAAUCAAGGAGAACUAUGGGGAAAUCGUUAGUAGAAUUUGAUUUUUUUGGUUGGCUUGAAAUGAUCAAGAAAUGUUUAGCAAUUAGUUAUAAAUAUGAUUUUAGCGGGGUUUUUUUAAAAAAAAUGUAAUGACUUUGUGCAACAUUAAGCUUGUGAUUUUUUCAAGAAAGUUGUCAAUGGUAAGAUUGUGGUUUUUCUGUUAUUUUUGUUGACUUUUAUUUUGGUGUCAAAAUAAAGGAUGUAAAGUGUAUUGAAGUUAUUAAAGCUCCCGAAGCAAAAAGUAAUUUACUAAACUUUGAAGAAAAAGUGAAAAAUGAAAAGUAAUUAUCCCUUUUUCUAUAUACAAAGCUAAUUAUUAGUAAUUGUAUUACUUAUUUCUUUUUUAUAUAUAAAGCUAAUUAUUAGUAUUUCUAAUUAAUUGUUCAACCUUAUUUCUAAUUAAGAAAGAUACUAAAACACUAAUGCAAUUCUUAAAAAAUAGGUUGAUUUCAUUCAUUUAUAAAUUUAGGCCUAGCAUUAUACCUUAUAUAAUAUAAGACUUUAUUUUCACUAGUAAAAUUAUAAACAUAUUUAAACGGGAGAGGUUCAUAUUAUUUGAGAUAAAUAGAGAAAAUGUUACAACAUACAUGGAGGAGGAGGAUCACUUCACUCAAACUCUACUCCCAUUGCUCUCACACUGCUGCACAAGGCAGCAAGGCCGCUGCCCUUGGCAACUACUCCUCAUUCUCUCUUGUUCUCUCUUUUCUGCACUGCACUCACUUCAUCACGUUGCUGCACAUGCAGCUACUGCAAUGGCAGCAGGGCUGCUGUCAUUGGCAGCCCUUCUCUGCAGCUCUCUCUCUCUCUCUUGUUGUGCUGCUCUCUUGGUGUUUAUUUAUAGGCAAGAAUGGUGCCACCAACUCCGGUUCUUCUUCAACAAUGGUGGCUGCCAAACUUUGACAUUUGAGAAGGUUGCAUAUGGUUGGUGCAGCUCCAGCUCUAGCUGCUGGUGCCGUUCAUUUAUUGCACAUUAAUGGCAACAAACCUAACAAAAGUAUGCAAGAUCGAUAUGUGAUGGGAAAAAGUAUGCAGAAUUGCUUAGAAGUUUUAGAUAGAAAACUGAAUGGCGUUGUUCAUGACAUUUGUUAUUGAUUGAUAGUUUUCCUUCUUUUCUUGUCUGCUUUUAGGAUUUGUUGCUCAUGUGUAGACACUGUUCAUGUGGUUACAUAUGAACCAUGGAAACAAAUUAAGGGCAACUGCACCUUUCCUCUUUCGCUGUUGUGUAAAUUCAGUUCAUCAUAUUCCGUUUCUGUAUUGCUGAGCUGUUUAGAUGUAGCAGAACAAACGUGAUUAUUAAUUACAGGAAAUUUACAAGCGGAUCCAAAAAUUGAGUUCAUAUCAUAGACUCGAUGGUCUUGCCGAUAAUGUCAUUUUUGGUUGUUGAAUGUUUAGUGGUCUUUUUCCUUGUACAAUGCAGUCUAAUAACUCAAACUUAAAAUCCAAACCCAAAUUCUCACCUCUUGUUUCCGUCUGAUAUGUUGGCAUAUAUGACAGUUAUUCUGAAACAUUGACAGCUUUUACUCUAGGAUCUUGAACCUAGAACAUCAUAACAUCACAGUAUCUCUAUUUUUAUCUGCAUACCUUACUUUUAUUCCUUUUUUUUGUCUGCUAUACUGUUUGUUAUGCUCAUACCUGUCAGGACAGAGAAUAUCAUAACAUCCCAAGAUCUUUGUUUUUAUCUGCAUACCUUACUUUUAUUCCUUGUUUUGUCUGCUAUACUGUUUGUUAUGCUCAUACUUGUCAGGACAGAUAGCUCAGUCUCCCGGAAAUUAGUUGGAGGAAAAUUUAUCUUUUUAUUUUUUGGUUUAGUCAAACUUGUAAACCAAAAUGAAUAAGAAAGUGUGUCUCGGUUUGAGUUUGCCGCAGGCCGUAGCACAGCAAGUACAAAGGCUAUAUCAGACCUGAAACUAGGAAAAUUCUACAAGGCCACAGAAUUUUCGAGCAGGAUACCAAUUAUACAUUAAAAAUUAUUUUAUCUUGCUAAGAAAAUGACCUGCCUGUUUGGUUGGCUGCCUAAAUUUCAAUUGAUGCCACUCUUAUCGCUCUAAUGGAAGCUUCUCGUUGACAAUUUUCAUUCCCCUUUGGUCAAAUACUCACUACCAAUUCUAUUAUAAUAGUUGAGUGAGAUAACUUCCAUCUAUUUUGUUUUUCCCCUUAACUCAAUACUUGAUGAACAGUCUUCCUUUCAAUCCUCUCUUUGUGAAAAUGCGACCACAUCUCCUUCUGGCCAUGUCUUGGUUUAUCCUGUUCAUAACCAUAAUCUUUGUCUGUGGUUUCACACUUGUGUUCUCUGCUGAUGAUGAGCGGUAUCUAAUCUGCAGAAACUUGUUUGAUUGCGGAAAUAUUAAGGGUAUUGGUUAUCCUUUCUCGGGAUCCAAUAGGCCUGAUUACUGUGGCUAUCCAGGGUUCGGGCUCAAUUGCAGUAACCAAAUUCCGGAGAUCACAAUCACUCAAUCGACAUACAAAGUCCUUGCCAUCAAUAACCAGUCACGGACUAUUAACGUUGCUAGAACAGAUUACAGAGAAAAUCUCUGUCCUACUCUCCUACUCAACACAACUUUGAAUCCCAGUCUUCUGAAUUACACAACGGAUGAUCAUAACAUAACAAUCUACUAUGGUUGCCCCGCUCAAGGUCCGCCUACUUCCCAUCUCUUAACUCAGUUUCCAUGCAGCAUAAACACCACUGAGAUGACGGGCUACUUUACAGCGACAGACGACUUCUCUUUCCUUGGUAACCUUGCUUCUAACUUAAUCCGUUACCUGGAAUCCUGCGACAACAGUGUUAAAGUUCAAGUACGUCAAUCAGCUCUUGAGCCAAUUAUAGCAAAUGCAACUGUAGCAAAGUUGCUUGGAGCUCUUAAUCAAGGUUUUGGGCUGGUGUGGAAUGCAAAUGAUACCUUAUGUGAUACAUGCAAUUCUUCUGGUGGUCAGUGUGGGUACGACCAGACAACUAAAGCAUUCGCUUGCUAUUGUGCCGAUCAACCUCGAGAUUUUAAUUGCCUACCAUCACCACCUAGUCAGUCAACAAGUACAUCCUCUUUGCAGUUUCUUUCCUUGAUGGCAUAAUAGGAUUAAUAGAGAUAGCUCAAAAGUAGGAGGAUCUUUGGUAAUAGAAACAGGCGUGAAACAUUCCUUUGAGUAGAGGUAGAAGCCUAGCCAACUAUUAGGAAUUACUCGUCAUCCCCACUAGUCCAGGUUUUUCGUUUAGUAAACUUCAAUUAGUCCAGGUUUUUCCUUCAACUGGUCCAGGUUUUUUGUUUAAUAAACUUCGAUUAGUCCAGGUUCCUCCUUCAACUAGUCCAGGUUUCUUGUUUUCUGAAGUGCAACUAGCCAUCCUACUCUUCUAAGCAGUCAAGGAAUAAAUUCAUCUUUGCAGAUAUUGCAAGUUCUACCGCAGUUUUCAAGUCUGGUCAGGUUUUAGCUUGCCAUAUUUUCGUCUUUGGUAAUUUAUGAGUUUGAUAGCUUUCAAGUAAAUGCUCCAAUGAUUUCAAGAAUUCGAUGCUUGAAUUACUUUCAAAGGCUCAAAAUUAGGAUUCUUUCUUCAGUCUUGUGUUUUACUCUGGCCCUUUAGAGCUCCAUCGGGUGAUGGUUUGAGUACACAAAAGAAUUCUACACCUUGUUCAUGGAAUUUUAACUAAAUCUCAGUUAAUCUGUGAGAGUUUUUGUCCAUGCCUAUUUCUUUAGUAGUUGUGUUUAUUGCUUGCAAAAACUGAACAGUUCAAUUACUCAUAGUU
rnacentral:lncRNA from 1 species